rnacentral:tRNA from 1 species
GCCACGUUAGCUCAGUUGGUAGAGCGUUACCUUGGUAAGGUAAAAACAUGUAGAAUCUGCUGUUUCCUUAAAAGGCCCUGAGUUCGACUCUCAGACGUGGCU